rnacentral:tRNA from 1 species
GGUCGAGACAGCGGGAGGCUCGGGGGCGGGCUCCGGCUCCGUCUCGGACGCCGGCGCUGCCUCGGUCUGCGGUUCGACACCGGACUCGGUGGC